CAAUAGCGUAUAUUAAAGUUGUUGCGGUUAAAAAGCUCGUAGUUGGAUUUCUGCUGAGAACGACCGGUCCGCCCUCUGGGUGUGUAUCUGGCUCUUUCUUGGCAUCUUCUUGGUGAACGUUGCUGCACUUGACUGUGUGGAGCGCUACCCAGGACUUUUACUUUGAGGAAAUUAGAGUGUUUCAAGCAGGCAUACGCCUUGAAUACAUUAGCAUGGAAUAAUAAGAUAGGACCUCGGUUCUAUUUUGUUGGUUUCUAGAGCUGAGGUAAUGAUUAAUAGGGAUAGUUGGGGGCAUUCGUAUUUAACUGUCAGAGGUGAAAUUCUUGGAUUUGUUAAAGAUGGACUACUGCGAAAGCAUUUGCCAAGGAUGUUUUCAUUG
rnacentral:rRNA from 1 species